rfam:Dictyocaulus viviparus strain HannoverDv2000 D_viviparus-1.0_Cont17193.1, whole genome shotgun sequence.
UUAAUGGUUUUUUUCAAAACCAUAGUCUGUAUAAAAAAGCCUUUC